UACGUAGGGUGCAAGCGUUGUCCGGAAUUAUUGGGCGUAAAGAGCUCGUAGGCGGUCUGUUGCGUCGGCUGUGAAAACCCGGGGCUCAACCCCGGGCCUGCAGCCGAUACGGGCAGACUAGAGUUCGGCAGGGGGAGACUGGAAUUCCUGGUGUAGCGGUGGAAUGCGCAGAUAUCAGGAGGAACACCGGUGGCGAAGGCGGGUCUCUGGGCAGUAACUGACGCUGAGGCACGAAGGCCAGGGGGAGCAAACGGGG
rnacentral:rRNA from 1 species